AGAGCACAAGGCGGAUGCCUUGGCAACAGGAGCCGAAGAAGGACGUGACAAGCUGCGAUAAGCUGCGGGGAGGUGCAAAUAACCUUUGAUCCGCAGAUGUCCGAAUGGGGGAACCCACAUACAGUAAUGUGUAUGUACCGUAUGGUGAAUAAAUAGCCAUACAGGAGGUGACCCGGUGAACUGAAACAUCUAAGUAGCCGGAGGAAGAGAAAGAAACAUCGAUCCCCUGAGUAGCGGCGAGCGAAAGGGGAAGAGCCCAAACCAUGCUACGGCAUGGGGUUGUGGACCAUCACAAGUCACAGAUCAUCAUAACCGAAUACAACUGGAAAGUUGAACCGCAGAAGGUAAAGGUCCUGUAGGUGAAAUGAUGAGACGGACGGAUGGCACCAGAGUAGCACCGGACACGUGAAACCCGGUGUGAAGCAGGGAGGACCGCCUCCCAAGGCUAAAUACUACCUGUUGACCGAUAGAGAACAGUACCGUGAGGGAAAGGUGAAAAGAACCCCGGGAGGGGAGUGAAACAGAACCUGAAACCUUAUGCUUACAAGCAGAGGGAGCGCAAGUGACCUCGUACUUUUUGUAGAACGGGCCAACGAGUUGCGGUAUAUGGCAAGGUUAAGGUGUUAAGCACCGGAGCCGUAGCGAAAGCGAGUCUUAAAAGGGCCAGAGUCGUAUGCUGCAGACCCGAAACCGGGUGACCUAUCCAUGUGCAGGUUGAAGCGGGAGUAAAAUCUCGUGGAGGACCGAACCCAUAUCCGUUGAAAAGGGUUGGGAUGACGUGUGGAUAGCGGUGAAAUUCCAAUCGAACUCGGAGAUAGCUGGUUCUCCUCGAAAUAGCUUUAGGGCUAGCCUCGGAAUGAGAUACGCGGAGGUAGAGCACUGAAUAUCCUAGGGGCCUUCACCGGCUACCGAAGAUUAUCAAACUCCGAAUGCCGCAGUAUCAUGUCCGGGAGUCAGACUAUGUGAGAUAAGUUUCAUAGUCGAAAGGGAAACAGCCCAGACCAACAGCUAAGGUCCCAAAGUUCAGGUUAAGUGGAAAAGGAUGUGGAGCUGCAUAGACAACUAGGACGUUGGCUUAGAAGCAGCCACUCAUUUAAAGAGUGCGUAAUAGCUCACUAGUCGAGUGACUCUGCGCCGAAGAUAAACGGGGCUGAAACCUGACACCGAAGCUUUGGAUACAUUAUGUAUGGUAGAGGAGCAUCGUAUACGGGCAGAAGCGUGACCGUAAGGAAACGUGGACUGUAUACGAGAGAGAAUGUUGGCAUGAGUAGCGAGAGGCAGGUGAGAAUCCUGCCCGCCGAAAAUCUGAGGAUUCCUGAGGAAGGUUCGUCCGCUCAGGGUAAGUCGGGACCUAAGCCGAGAACGAAAGUUGUAGGCGAUGGACAACAGGUUGAGAUUCCUGUACCACCGAGGAUCAUUUGAAUGAAGUGGGGACGCAGGAGGAUAGGCUGAGCGCGCCGUUGGUGGAGCGCGUCCAAGCACGGAGGGAGUUGACCAGGCAAAUCCGGUCAGCGAGUUCCUGACGUGUGAUGGGGAGGGAAAACAAGUACCGAAGCAGCUGAUUUCACACUGCCAAGAAAAGCCGCUGGUGAGAUCCAAGGUGCCCGUACCGCAAACCGACACAGGUAGAUGAGGAGAGAAUCCUAAGGCGAGCGAGAGAACUAUUGUUAAGGAACUCGGCAAAAUGACCCCGUAACUUAGGGAGAAGGGGUGCUGCAGAAAUGCAGCCGCAGUGAAGAGGCCCAGGCGACUGUUUACCAAAAACACAGGUCUCUGCGAAAGCGAAAGCUGAAGUAUAGGGGCUGACGCCUGCCCGGUGCUGGAAGGUUAAGGGGAAGUGUCAGGGCGACCGAAGCACAGAACUUAAGCCCCAGUAAACGGCGGCCGUAACUAUAACGGUCCUAAGGUAGCGAAAUUCCUUGUCGGGUAAGUUCCGACCCGCACGAAAGGCGUAACGAUCUGGGCACUGUCUCGACAAUAGGCUCGGUGAAAUUGUAGUACCGGUAAAGAUGCCGGUUACCCGCAGCAGGACGGAAAGACCCCGUGGAGCUUUACUGCAGUUUGAUAUUGAGUUUCGGCAUUGCAUGUACAGGAUAGGUGGGAGACAGAGAAGUAUGCACGCCAGUGUGUACUGAGUCGCCGUUGGGAUACCACCCUUGUAAUGUUGGAAUUCUAACCAGGGCCCGUGACCCGGGUCGGGGACAGUGUCAGACGGGCAGUUUGACUGGGGCGGUCGCCUCCUAAAGAGUAACGGAGGCGCCCAAAGGUUCCCUCAGUGCGGUUGGAAACCGUGCGAAGAGUGCAAAGGCAGAAGGGAGCUUGACUGCGAGACAAACAGGUCGAGCAGGGACGAAAGUCGGGCUUAGUGAUCCGGUGGUACCGAGUGGAAGGGCCAUCGCUCAACGGAUAAAAGCUACCCCGGGGAUAACAGGCUGAUACCCCCCAAGAGUCCACAUCGACGGGGGUGUUUGGCACCUCGAUGUCGGCUCGUCUCAUCCCGGGGCUGAAGCAGGUCCCAAGGGUUGGGCUGUUCGCCCAUUAAAGAGGUACGCGAGCUGGGUUCAGAACGUCGUGAGACAGUUCGGUCCCUAUCCGCUGUGGGCGUUGGAGGUUUGAGUGGAGCUGCCCUUAGUACGAGAGGACCGGGGUGGACAUACCGCUGGUGCACCGGUUGCAGUGCCAACUGCACAGCCGGGUAGCUAAGUAUGGAAGGGAUAAGCGCUGAAAGCAUCUAAGUGCGAAGCCCCCCACGAGAAAAGACCUCCUUGA
rnacentral:rRNA from 1 species